ensembl:lncRNA
CCCGGUGUCCUUUGUCUAAAUUGGUGCGUUAUCUACAAGCUGCACCCAGUCAUCCAGUGAGUGAGAGGAGAGAGAAGGCUUUCAACGAACUAAUAUCAUGAAGAGAUAUGUGAAAAACACCUUGAGGAUUGAUUCUAAACAACGUUUACCAUGUUUCAGUCGAUAUUAUGGAGUUAAUUUGGAAAAAAGUUUGGCGUUUUGAAGACUGAAUUUUCGUUUUUUUUUGGUAGCCAAAAGUGACGCACCAAACGGAGCAAUUUCUCCUAAACAAAUAAUCUUUCAGGAAAAACUGAGCAUUUGCUAUCUAAGUGAGAGUCUCCUCAUUGAAAACAUCUGAAGUUCUUCAAAGAUGCAGAGAGAGCAUGCUGUCGAUCUAUAUCACCGCUUGGUACGGCAACUGCACUGCCUGCAACCGCAGGGCUCUCCAGAGGGUGGUGCGGUCUGCCCAACACAUUACUGGGUGCAAACUACCUGCCCUCCAAGACAUCUACAGCACCCGAUGUCACAGGAAGGCCAAAAAGAUCAUCAAGGACAACAGCAACCCAUACCACUGCCUGUUCACCCCGUUAUCACC